CAUCUAAGUGCGAAACUCACCUCGAGAUAAGAUUUCCCAUUACGUAAGUAAGUAAGAUCCCUGAAAGAUGAUCAGGUAGAUAGGAUGGAAGUGGAAGUGCUGUGAGGCAUGGAGCGGACUAUUACUAAUCGAUCGAGGACUUAACCAAG
rnacentral:rRNA from 1 species